rnacentral:rRNA from 1 species
UACGGAGGAUGCGAGCGUUAUCCGGAUUUAUUGGGUUUAAAGGGUGCGUAGGCGGGUUAUCAAGUCAGCGGUAAAAAUGCGGUGCUCAACGCCGUCGAGCCGUUGAAACUGGCGUUCUUGAGUGGGCGAGAAGUAUGCGGAAUGCGUGGUGUAGCGGUGAAAUGCAUAGAUAUCACGCAGAACUCCGAUUGCGAAGGCAGCAUACCGGCGCCCUACUGACGCUGAGGCACGAAAGCGUGGGGAGCAAACAGG